rnacentral:lncRNA from 1 species
UUAUUGCUCUACAGAUCAAAAUGCUGAAUACCAUCACAGCCAUGUUAGAUUGUACAGAUAGACCUGUUCUUCAGGCCAUUUUUCUUAACAGCAAUUGCUUUGAACAUCUCAUACGACUGCUACAGAACUGCAAGGUAUUUUUCUAUUAUUGUUGUUGUCUUUGAUUUUAAGAAGCUAUUUUUUGUUUUUGUUUUGAUUCACAUUUGAACAUAUUUUUACUAAUUUUUAUACUUAAUCUCUGUUUGCAUUUAAUUACAUAACCAAGUUUUAUCUUGAAUUGAAACUAGUAUUAAAUCACUUGUAAUUGUCUAAAUACUUUAAAGGUAGUCAAACUGGAAUUUCUUUGUAUGGGAAGAAUUUCAGUUCAUGACAUAUAUUAUUUUCAUUCUAUCCAGAAAUAUCCUUGAGGCCCUUUAAGUAAUUAGUUGCUUCUGAGCUCUUCUAACUAUUUGUGUCUGAAUAUACUAAGAUGAGUCUUUGAAAAACAAUUGUUUCUCAUGGAAACACUGUCUUCUACCACAGUUUGUAGACUCCAAGUUACAUACCCUGUAAAUACAGGCCACUGAUUAUAGG